GAAGGCAGAGAAAUUCAGCAAGCAGCAAGCAGGAUGUCCUGCUCUCAGUAAGACAGAGAUGGACUUCCUGCAAUAUAGCAAGAAGGAUCAAACAGCAGAAAUUGACUGGUAGAUUUGGUGCGUGCUAACUUGAUUUUACCUUCAUGUUUUAAGCAGCUAAAAUAUCUUUGCAUCCCAGAGAUGACUUACUUGGGUUUCAGAGGCAGCUUACCAGAACAUCAAUCAAGUUUACCUUCAGUCCAAAACUCAAUUCUGCUCUCAGCAGCUUAGCUGUUUCAUCAGCAGUCACAGAGAAAGUCACAGCUGCUUUAUUUUAGUAAGGUAAGAAUAAUACCCUGUGUCUAAAGUGAACUAACAGAAGAGACAGAAACCAACAAUUACAGCUUUAAAAGUCUCAGUUCAGAAGCAGUAAAGCUUACUUUUGAAAAAUAAGCUGGUUUUGGCACAUAGUAUGUGAGGCAAAAGCAGUUCAUAGAAUCACAUCACAGAGUGACAGAAUGGCUGGGCUGGAAGGGACCUCAAGGAUCACGAAGCUCCAACCCCCCUGUGCCAUGCAGGGCCACCAACCUCCACAUUUCACAGCAGCCCAGGCUGCCCAGGGCCCCAUCCAACCUGGCCUUCAACACCUCCAGGGAUGGACGGGGCAUCACAGCCUCUCUGGGCAGCUGUUCCAGCACCUCACCACUCUCACAGCACACAACUUCCCCCUGACAUCCAACCUCCAUCUGCCCUCCCUCAACUCCAAACCAUUUCCCCUUGUCCUGCUGCCAUCUCCCCUUUCCAAGAGCUGACUCCCCUCCUGUCUGCAGGCUCCCUUUAGGCACUGCAGGCUGCACUGAGCUCACCCCGCAGCCUUCUUUUCUCCAUGCUGAACAAGCCCAGCUCCCUCAGCCUGUCUUCAUAAUAUUACAGUAUUACAAGCCAAAAAGAAUUCAGGCACUAGGAAAUGAAUUUCAGCACUAACUGCAAGCCAAUUUGUUAAUUACACGAAACAGUCAUUACUCACUGUUCAACAAUAAAUAAUUCUUUAUAAAAUUAACAAAAAUCAAAUGACACAAUGAUGUUCUGGGCUUGUUUAGCUUGGAGAAGAGAAGGCUCCAGGGAGACCUCAUGGUGGCCUUCCAGUGCUUGAAGGGAGCGGAUAAACAGGAGGGGAACGGCUGUGUGUGAGGGUGGAUGGUGAUGGGACAAGGGGAAUGGUUUUAAAGUGAGACAGGGGAGGUUUGGGUUGGAUAUGAGGAGGAAGUUUUGGAGCCAGAGGGUGGUGAGGCACUGGCACAGGUUGCCCAAGGAGGCUGUGGAUGCCCCAUCCCUGCAGGCAUUCAAGGCCAGGCUGGAUGUGGCUCUGGGCAGCCUGGGCUGCUGGUUGGUGACCUGCACACAGCAGGGGCUUGGAGCUGGAUGAGCACUGUGCUCCUGUGCAAACCAGGCCGUUCUGUGAUGCUGUGAUAUGAGCUGCCCU